ACCAGACGAUGCGGUUACCGCGGCUGCUGGCACGGAGUUAGCCGGUGCUUCUUCUGUGAGUGAUGUCCUUCCUGCCGGCUAUUAACCCGCAGGCCUUCUUCCUCACUGAAAGUGCUUUACAACCCGAAGGCCUUCUUCACACACGCGGCAUGGCUGGAUCAGGGUUGCCCCCAUUGUCCAAUAUUCCCCACUGCUGCCUCCCGUAGGAGUCUGGGCCGUGUCUCAGUCCCAGUGUGGCUGAUCAUCCUCUCAGACCAGCUACGGAUCGUCGCCUUGGUGAGCCGUUACCUCACCAACCAGCUAAUCCGACAUAGGCUCAUCCGAUAGCGCGAGGCCCGAAGGUCCCCCGCUUUCCCCCGUAGGGCGUAUGCGGUAUUAGCCUGGGUUUCCCCAGGUUAUCCCCCACUACCGGGCAGAUUCCUAUGCAUUACUCACCCGUCCGCCGCUCGCCACCAGGGAGCAAGCNCCCCGUGCUGCCGCUCGACUUGCAUGUGUUAGGCCUGCCGCC
rnacentral:rRNA from 1 species